rnacentral:rRNA from 1 species
AGGGUUUGAUUAUGGCUCAGGACGAACGCUGGCGGCGUGCCUAACACAUGCAAGUCGAGCGGAGACAGUGAGUAGCUUGCUAUGAGCUGUUUUAGCGGCGGACGGGUGAGUAACGCGUGAGCAACCUUUCCCAGACAGGGGAAUAACACACCGAAAGGUGUACUAAUACCGCAUAAGACCACGGUUUCACAUGGAACUGAGGUAAAAGAUUUAUCGGUUUGGGGUGGGCUCGCGUCCGAUUAGGUAGUUGGUGAGGUAACGGCCCACCAAGCCGACGAUCGGUAGCCGACCUGAGAGGGUGAUCGGCCACAUUGGGACUGAGACACGGCCCAA